UACGUAGGUCCCGAGCGUUGUCCGGAUUUAUUGGGCGUAAAGCGAGCGCAGGUGGUUUAAUAAGUCUGAUGUAAAAGGCAGUGGCUCAACCAUUGUGUGCAUUGGAAACUGGGAGACUUGAGUGCAGAAGAGGAAAGUGGAAUUCCAUGUGUAGCGGUGAAAUGCGUAGAGAUAUGGAGGAACACCAGUGGCGAAGGCGACUUUCUGGUCUGUAACUGACACUGAGGCGCGAAAGCGUGGGGAGCAAACAGG
rnacentral:rRNA from 1 species